rnacentral:rRNA from 1 species
CCUACGGGGUGCAGCAGUAGGGAAUCUUCCACAAUGGGCGAAAGCCUGAUGCAGCAACGCCGCGUGGGUGAAGAAGGUCUUCGGAUCGUAAAACCCUGUUGUUAGAGAAGAAAGUGCGUGAGAGUAACUGUUCACGUUUCGACGGUAUCUAACCACAAAGCCACGGCUCACUACGUGCCAGCAGCCGCGGUAAUACGUAGGUGGCAAGCGUUAUCCGGAUUUAUUGGGCGUAAAGGGAACGCAGGCGGUCUUUUAAGUCUGAUGUGAAAGCCUUCGGCUUAACCGGAGUAGUGCAUUGGAAACUGGGAGACGUGAGUGCAGAAGAGGAGAGUGGAACUCCAUGUGUAGCGGUGAAAUGCGUAGAUAUAUGGAAGAACACCAGUGGCGAAAGCGGCUCUCUGGUCUGUAACUGACGCUGAGGUUCGAAAGCGUGGGUAGCAAACAGGAUUAGAUACCCUAGUAGUC